AGAUGUCGAGGCUUCUUUUUGUCACAUAUUCUGUCUUCCUUUUUACACAAUUUGAUAUUUGUACUGCAAGUUUCUUUGAUAUUCACUACCCGGAUGUGUUUUUUACGGCUGAGCAAGGAGGGAACUUGACUAUUAGGGCUGGACCAAACGGCGGGGACAUCAUCAUGCUCCCACAGGGCAAUGGAACCGUAUAUAUUGGC